rnacentral:rRNA from 1 species
AAUGGGCGAAAGCCUGAUCCAGCAAUGCAGCGUGUGUGAAGAAGGCCUGAGGGUUGUAAAGCACUUUCAGUAGGGAAGAUAAUGACGGUACCUACAGAAGAAGCACCGGUUAACUCCGUGCCAGCAGCCGCGGUAAUACGGAGGGUGCAAGCGUUAAUCGGAAUUACUGGGCGUAAAGCGUACGUAGGAUGUGAUGCAAGUCGGAUGUGAAAUCCCCGGGCUUAACCUGGGAACUGCAUUCGAAACUACAUUACUAGAGUGUAGUAGAGGUAAGCGGAAUUUCGGGUGUAGCGGUGAAAUGCGUAGAUAUCCGAAAGAACAUCAGUGGCGAAGGCGGCUUACUGGACUAACACUGACUCUGAGGUACGAAAGCGUGGGGAGCAAACAGGAUU